CGGCCGGCUCGACGACCAGCACGACGAGGAGCCCGGCAAGAUCCUCGGCGAGCUGCGGUACGGCGAGUCGGCCGCCUUCGACGAGCAGCCGACCGG
rnacentral:tRNA from 1 species